GCAAAAGCAGCAUAAUCAAUUGGCUUUUAUUUAAGAUCUAGUACGAAAGGAUAAACGGUUAAUUAAUGUCUCUUUUGUUUUAAUUUAAAUUACUCAAGUAGUGAAUAUUCUACUAAAAGUAUAAUAGAUGAGAAGACCCCUAGAGUUACACGAAGAAUUAAAAAGUUUUUAAAAUCGGUUUGUUGGGGCAGCAAAAUCAAGCAAAACCAUAAAUCAAUUUCCUUUAAGUAUAUACAAGACUACUAAAAUUGUAAGUAUUAAAAACUACCUUAGGGAUAUCAGCACAAUUUUUAAAAGAUUGUGACCUCGAUAUUGGUU
rnacentral:rRNA from 1 species